rnacentral:rRNA from 1 species
GCCUACGGCCACACCACCCUGAAAGUGCCUGAUCCCAUCUGAUCUCAGAAGUGAUACAGGGUUGGGCUUGGUUAGUACCUGGAUGGGAGACCACCUGGGAAUACCAGGUGUCAUAAGCU